AUGACACCGAAAAACACUGGUAAUAACCUCUAUAUCUCUAUACAUGUAUACAUGUAUGUAUAUCUAUAUCUAUCUAUCUAUCUAUAUAUAUCUAUUAUAUAUGCAUAUAUAUAUAUGCAUGCCUCCUGCAACCCCUCUAAUGUGAUACAUUUUUUAACUAGCCUAAAACACUAAGCUAAUGAACAUUAUGCUUGACCAAUUAAUAUGUGUAUGUAGAAUGUGUUUCUAAUCAUUCUAAUGUUUACAGUAGCUCAAACAGGAUUUUACUUCAAAAUAAUUCUGUACAAUGGAAAAAUAUGUGUGUAUAUAUUUGGGAAGUAAAAUAGAAUUUGAGAUGCUAUGAAAAUGAGACUGAUCAGAAGCACACUGAAUAUAACAAAAAAAUCAAAACUUAAUUUGUGAUUUCAGUUGUUAAGAAAGAUACACUAGUUGGACAUGUUACAAUGGAAGAAACUUUUAAUAAAUAGAUAUUUAAUUCUCCUCAAAAGUAAUAAUUAUAUAAAAGGAGUAAGUGCAGAAUUUGUUUUUUUUCCACCAUCUAAAUUUCAAGCAUACUGUGCUGGUUAGCGAUUACUGGUUAGUCAAAGGGAAGUCAGUGUAGCUGGCUAUCCUGGCCAGAGGUCAAAGGUUAGUGAGUACUGGUUAGUGAGAGGGAAGUCAGUGUAGCUGGCUAUCCUGGCCAGAGGUCAAAGGUUAGUGAGUACUGGUUAGUGAGAGGGAAGUCAGUGUAGCUGGCUAUCCUGGCCAGAGGUCAAGGGUUAGUGAUUACUGGUUAGUGAGAGGGAAGUCAGUGUAGCUGGCUAUCCUGGCCAGAGGUCAAGGGUUAGUGAUUACUGGUUAGUGAGAGGGAAGUCAGUGUAGCUGGCUAUCCUGGCCAGAGGUCAAGGGUUAGUGAUUACUGGUUAGUGAGAGGGAAGUCAGUGUAGCUGGCUAUCCUGGCCAGAGGUCAAAGGUUAGUGAUUACUGGUUAGUGAGAGGGAAGUCAGUGUAGCUGGCUAUCCUGGCCAGAGGUCAAAGGUUAGUGAGUACUGGUUAGUGAGAGGGAAGUCAGUGUAGCUGGCUAUCCUGGCCAGAGUUCAAGGGUUAGUGAAGGAAGUCAGUGUAGCUGGCUAUCUUGGCUAGCAGUCAAGGGUUAGUGAUUACUGGUUAGUGAGAGGGAAGUCCGUGUAGCUGGCUAUCCUGGCUAGCAGUCAAGGGUUAGUGAUUACUGGUUAUUGAGAGGGAAGUCAGUGUAACUGGCUAUCCUGGCUAGAGGUCAAGGGUUAGUGAUUACUGAUUAGUGAGAGGUAAGUCAGUGUAGCUGGCUAUCCUGGCUAGAGGUCAAGGGUUAGUUAUUACUGGUUAGUGAGAGGGAAGUCAGUGUAGCUGGCUAUCCUGGCUAGAGGUCAAGGGUUAGUUAUUACUGGUUAGUGAGAGGGAAGUCAGUGUAGCUGACUAUCCUGGCCAGAGUUCAAGGGUUAGUGAAGGAAGUCAGUGUAGCUGGCUAUCUUGGCUAGCAGUCAAGGGUUAGUGAUUACUGGUUAGUGAGAGGGAAGUCCGUGUAGCUGGCUAUCCUGGCUAGCAGUCAAGGGUUAGUGAUUACUGGUUAUUGAGAGGGAAGUCAGUGUAACUGGCUAUCCUGGCUAGAGGUCAAGGGUUAGUGAUUACUGAUUAGUGAGAGGUAAGUCAGUGUAGCUGGCUAUCCUGGCUAGAGGUCAAGGGUUAGUUAUUACUGGUUAGUGAGAGGGAAGUCAGUGUAGCUGGCUAUCCUGGCUAGAGGUCAAGGGUUAGUUAUUACUGGUUAGUGAGAGGGAAGUCAGUGUAGCUGGCUAUCCUGGCUAGAGGUCAAGGGUUAGUUAUUACUGGUUAGUGAGAGGGAAGUCAGUGUAGCUGGCUAUCCUGGCUAGAGGUCAAGGGUUAGUUAUUACUGGUUAGUGAGAGGGAAGUCAGUGUAGCUGGCUAUCCUGGCUAGAGGUCAAGGGUUAGUUAUUACAGGUUAGUGAGAGGGAAGUCAGUGUAGCUGGCUAUCCUGGCUAGAGGUCAAGGGUUAGUUAUUACUGGUUAGUGAGAGGGAAGUCAGUGUAGCUGGCUAUCCUGGCUAGAGGUCAAGGGUUAGUUAUUACUGGUUAGUGAGAGGGAAGUCAGUGUAGCUGGCUAUCCUGGCUAGAGGUCAAGGGUUAGUUAUUACUGGUUAGUGAGAGGGAAGUCGGGGUGUCGGAUACAAACAUCAGCUAUCUGGCUGGCUAUCCUGGUUAGAGGUCAAGGGUUAGUGAUUACUAGUUAGUGAGACUCACAGGGAAGUAAUGAAGUGUUCUUACACCUCUCCAUUAAGCCAUUAAAACGAUCAUGAGAUAUUGGGAUAUACGAACCAUCCACCUAUCAGCUGCAAAGCUUGUGGCAUAGCAAAAUAAAACAUAUACAUAUACCAUAGAUGUACACAUAUUAGAUUACACACACACACAGCAUUUACACAUAUACAGACUCACACAUACAUUGUACACACGAUAAUUAUAAUUAUGUCAAUAAAAUAAAUACAAAAAUAUUGUGCAUUACUAUACAUGCCUCUAAAAUAGGCCAAUACAUGCAACUAAUAAUGAGCAGUUUUAAUUUAACAUUUUAAAUAGCUCUCAAAAUAUAAUUUAUAAUUAUAUUACAAUAACAGAUAAAGACAAAAAACAACAACAAAAAACCCAAAACAAACCAAAAACCAAACAACCCAAAACCCCACCCCACCCCACCCAAGACCCCCCCCUUCAAAAAAAACAAAAAUCCCUGCAUAUACUUGAUAUGGACAAUGUUUUUAUUUUGAUUAUCAUAAACAUAAAUUUCUGAUGUUAAACUAUGACAUACAUGUAACUGAAUUGUACAUAUUUUGUAAUGAUGUCAUUAAUUAAGAUAAUUUCACCAGCAUAUAUACCGAGUAGAAAAUUGGUUAAAUACUGAAUCAUUUUAAAGUCAGAAAUUGGCAAAUUGAAAAACAAUAUGAUCCACCCUAAUCGACUGCAAUCUCAUUUCUAGAAGUACACUAAAACAAAGGAAAAAAUAAUAACUUUGUUUUCAUUGGUCACCAUAAUCAACCAAUGAAAACUGUGGUUUCAGAAUAAAACAGAUUUCACAAAAAUGGCUACAUCUACAGUAUUGCAUGACAAACAAAAGAAGAAAAAAACCCACCACCACCAAAAUAAUUUUUGCAAAAUAAAAACAAAUUUAACAAUAACAUAACAAAAUAAAAUAAUUUUUCUGAAACAAAAUUGGAAUUCUGUGUUGGAAGAUCUGAUCUGAGACGGGGGUUACUUGUAAAAACAAGACAAAUCAUUACAUAAACAAUACGGUACUUAUGUAUUCACAUAGAGAAUAACUACAUGUAGGUAAUGGUGUAGGAUAUCUGCUUUAUUCUGUGAAGGUAAGAAUUGAUAAUUCCCCCCCCCCCCCACCCCCACCCCCACCCCCGAGGCUUGCCAAGCAGAAUUUCUCAUUUGGCCCGAAUAGGAUAAAGCCGAUAUCCUAUGUCAUUAACUAGUUAUUAUGUUUAUCCUGCAGACUGUAAAAAUUAAGUUAUUUCUAUUAUUUGAGCUACGUUGUAUGAUGACCUAGAGGUCAAAUGAGCGAUUUUGUAAUGUAGCUAUGCGUGUAACGUCACAUGAGUGAUGACAAAAGUCAAAUUCUGCUACUAUACGUAUAUGACUUUGCUUUAUGCGUCAUCAUAAUCUGUCAACAGAAAGAGUGGUUCGAAGAAUAAAUAUCCAUUUACACGAUUUGGAAGAAAAAGAGAUGAUUUGGCUACAACAUGUCAUGUACCAUAUACAUGAAGCAUAGUUGUAAGAUUCCUAUUAAUGGACAUAGAUUGUGUGUUUUGACACAAACUCUGUUGUCGUAAUGCUGAGUUACACUAACAUUCACUGCUAACUCCAAAAUUGGUGUAUUUUGCAUUUUGAAAAUGAAUUCUUCAUAUUCAUUUAUGUCGUGUAUGUAUAUGUAUAUGUGUGUGUGUGUGCGUGUCUGUGUGUGUAUCUGUGUGUGUGUGUGCGUGCAUGUGUACGUGCAUGUGUGCAUGCAUGCAUGCAUGAAUGCAAACAUACAUGUGUGUGUACAUCAUAUAUAACAAUAUUUUGUUCCUGCAUAGACAGCCCAGACAGAUGAUAUGUACAGCAUGCUUGAUCUUUAACUGGACAUAGCAUGAAAAUAAAAUAUAUAGCAAUGACAGAUCACCUAUAGUCUGUCCCAUCCUACAAAAAUGUUUUUUGUAAAUAUUUUCAGUUAAGUUUGAGGUAAGAAGAAAAGUAAAAGUGUUUUGGAAAUAAUAAAAAAACGUAAAAUUUUGUGUCCAGUUUGGAAAACAAUCGGCUCAGAAAUAAUAACAUAGCAU
rnacentral:lncRNA from 1 species